rnacentral:rRNA from 1 species
CAUGAAGAUUUUGAUCAUGUCUCAGGACGAACGCUGGCGGCGUGCUUAACACAUGCAAGUCGAACGGACCCUUUGGGGUUAGUGGCGAACGGGUGAGUAACACGUGGGUGAUCUGCCCUGCACUUUGGGAUAAGCCUGGGAAACUGGGUCUAAUACCGGAUAGGACUACGCACUGCAUGGUGUGUGGUGGAAAGCUUUUGCGGUGUGGGAUGGGCCCGCGGCCUAUCAGCUUGUUGGUGGGGUGAUGGCCUACCAAGGCGACGACGGGUAGCCGGCCUGAGAGGGUGACCGGCCACACUGGGACUGAGAUACGGCCCAGACUCCUACGGGAGGCAGCAGUGGGGAAUAUUGCACAAUGGGCGCAAGCCUGAUGCAGCGACGCCGCGUGAGGGAUGACGGCCUUCGGGUUGUAAACCUCUUUCGCCAGGGACGAAGCGCAAGUGACGGUACCUGGAGAAGAAGGACCGGCCAACUACGUGCCAGCAGCCGCGGUAAUAAC